UGCUGUUCUUCACCUGAGUUCCCUGUCAUGAGUCAUUUGUAUGUAGUCAGUAAAUUUUGUCCCCUGUUGAUAUCCUUUACACCAGUACUACGUUAGUCCAUGUUCAAAGGUAUUCUGUGCUUCCUGUCCAGAGAAGGUAGUGAAAAUGUGAAAAUAGUGAGUAGAUUUCUUGUUGUUUGAAAUGGUUAAAAAAGGCUGAA